rnacentral:rRNA from 1 species
UACGGAGGGAGCUAGCGUUGUUCGGAAUUAUUGGGCGUAAAGGGCUCGUAGGCGGUUUGUCGCGUCGGGAGUGAAAACACGGAGCUUAACCCCGUGCCUGCUUCCGAUACGGGCAGACUAGAGGUAUGCAGGGGAGAACGGAAUUCCUGGUGUAGCGGUGAAAUGCGCAGAUAUCAGGAGGAACACCAAUGGCGAAGGCAGAUCUCUGGGCCGUAACUGACGCUGAGGAGCGAUAGCAUGGGGAGCGAACAGG